ensembl:piRNA 21ur-2618 ncRNA
AUGAAAAUCAAAAAUGCUGAA